rnacentral:tRNA from 1 species
UUGGGUUAUAGCCAAGUGGUAAGGCAAUGGUUUUUGGUACCAUCAUGCGCUGGUUCGAAUCCAGCUAACCCAAUAGU